rnacentral:misc_RNA from 1 species
UAUGUGAGCUGGCUUGCCUGCGAUAGCGCAGUGUCAGUCUACUGAUCUGGCCCUGAUCCACCGCCAUCGCAGGCAAGCCAGCUCCCACA